AUUGAACGCUGGCGGCAGGCCUAACACAUGCAAGUCGAACGAGUGGCGCACGGGUGAGUAAUGUCUGGGAAACUGCCCGAGGGGGGGGGAUAACUACUGGAAACGGUAGCUAAUACCGCGUACACCCUGAUGUGCCCAGAUGGGAUUAGCUUGUAGGGGAGGUAACGGCUCACCUCGGCGACGCUCCCUAGCUGGUCUGAGAGGAUGAUCAGCCACACUGGAACUGAGACACGGUCCAGACUCCUACGGGAGGCAGCAGUGGGGAAUAUUGGACAAUGGGCGCAAGCCUGAUGCAGCCAUACCGCGUGGGUGAAGAAGGCCUUCGGGUUGUAAAGCCCUUUUGUUGGGAAAGCGGUACCCAAAGAAUAAGCACCGGCUAACUUCGUGCCAGCAGCCGCGGUAAUAC
rnacentral:rRNA from 1 species